GACGAACGCUGGCGGCGUGCUUAACACAUGCAAGUCGAACGGUGAACGAGGGAGCUUGCUCCCUCCGGAUCAGUGGCGAACGGGUGAGUAACACGUGAGCAAUCUGCCCCGAACUCUGGGAUAAGCGUUGGAAACGACGUCUAAUACCGGAUACGACGCGGGAGGGCAUCCUCUCCGCGUGGAAAGAACUUCGGUUCGGGAUGAGCUCGCGGCCUAUCAGCUUGUUGGUGAGGUAACGGCUCACCAAGGCGACGACGGGUAGCCGGCCUGAGAGGGUGACCCGCCACACUGGAACUGAGACACGGUCGAGGCUCCUGCGGGAGGCAACAGUGGGGAAUAUUGCGCGAUGGGCGCAAGCCUGAUGCAGCCAUGCCGCGUGUAUGAAGAAGGCCUUCGGGUUGUAAAGUGCUUUCAGCGGGGAGGAAGGAAGUAACGUUAAUACCUGUGCUCAUUGACGUUACCCGAAGAAGAAGCACCGGCUAACUACGUG
rnacentral:rRNA from 1 species